ACUCCUACGGGAGGCAGCAGUAGGGGAAUCUUCCUACAAUGGGCGCAAGCCUGAUGGAGCAACACCGCGUGAGUGAAGAAGGGUUUCGGCUCGUAAAGCUCUGUUGUUAAAGUAAGAACACGUAUGAGAGUAACUGUUCAUACGUUGACGGUAUUUAACCAGAAAGUCACGGCUAACUACGUGCCAGCAGCCGCGGUAAUACGUAGGUGGCAAGCGUUAUCCGGAUUUAUUGGGGCGUAAAGAGAGUGCAGGCGGUUUUCUAAGUCUGAUGUGAAAGCCUUCGGCUUAACCGGAGAAGUGCAUCGGAAACUGGAUAACUUGAGUGCAGAAGAGGGUAGUGGAACUCCAUGUGUAGCGGUGGAAUGCGUAGAUAUAUGGAAGAACACCAGUGGCGAAGGCGGCUACCUGGUCUGCAACUGACGCUGAGACUCGAAAGCAU
rnacentral:rRNA from 1 species